UACAGAGGGCUCGAGCGUUAGGCGGAAUCACUGGGCUUAAAGCGUGUGUAGGCGGAUCGUUAAGUGCCUUGUGAAAUCCCACGGCUUAACCGUGGAACUGCUUGGCAUACUGGCGGUCUUGAGCAACCUAGGGGCGAGCGGAACAAAUGGUGGAGCGGUGAAAUGCGUAGAUAUCAUUUGGAACGCCAAUGGUGAAAACAGCUCGCUGGGGGUUUGCUGACGCUGAGACACGAAAGCCAGGGGAGCAAACGGG
rnacentral:rRNA from 1 species